AAGCCUCAGACCGUCCUAGUUCAUGAAAUUAUUUCAACAUUUGAUGCAAGCCAGUAGACUAGCAUUUUUGCUGAACUACCAAUAGUCAUCAAUGGCUUCAGUACUAAAAUCCACGAUUAAAUAACGGGAGAACAAAAAUAAUAGCAAGGCAUCAGAUCUUCCUAUUAAAAAAUAAGAAUCACAAUACCCAAAUCAAAUGUCCGAGCAUUCAAUGAUUCGGCGUAUGAUUCGUCAUUUGCCCUACCCAUGGAAAUAGGAACCCUACACGGAGAAAAAAAGUACGGCGAUUUGAGCUAGGGUUUUUUUAACUCCAGAAAAGACUGAGGAGUGGAGGUCUGAUUUAUCAGGGUUAA
rnacentral:misc_RNA from 1 species